AUGAAGAAUAUAGUUUAUGUGAAUUAAAUGUUAACAUUGUAAUUAUGUAUACGUUUAAUGAUGUUACAUAGCUUACUAUAGCAUAUUUUAGUAUUUUACUAAACUGUAUUUGUUUUUGCUGCAGAGCCAAGUGAGAACAUCACAAACAUCACCGACCACAACAUCACAGGACCUGGUGCUAUAGGUCUGGGUCCAGAUCUCUUUUCCCCUGCAAACAUUAUCCAACUAUUGAAGGAGGAAGCCAAAGUGAGGCUCAUAAUGAAUUGUCUAGGCCUCACCGUUUCCCUCAUGGUAGGAGGAGUUGCUGCAGGAAUGUGGUAUCUUUUUUAUUAUAAGAAAAAGAAACCCUGUAUGAAGAAGAAAGAUGCUGUGGUGAAAAUGGAGGAAGGACCUUUAAACAAAGGUUAAUAUCCCUCCAGACUCAAAUGUUGAUAUGGGAGAAGUUACAUAAGAUCUGUAUCCUGAUCUCCCAAUUACUGUGAACCAACUCAACUGUGUUACAGGACCUUUAAAUUAUCUAAUUUAAAGAAAUGUACAAUAAAUACUUAAUGCUUGUAACAUUAAA